GAUGAACGCUGGCGGCGUGCCUAAUACAUGCAAGUCGAGCGAACGGACGAUAAGCUUGCUUCUCUGAUGUUAGCGGCGGACGGGUGAGUAACACGUGGAUAACCUACCUAUAAUACGGGGAUAACUUCGGGAAACCGGAGCUACUACCGGAUGAUAUUUUGAACCGCAUGGUUCAAAAGUGAAAGACGGUCUUGCUGUCUCUUAUAGAUGGAUCCGCGCUGCAUUAGCUAGUUGGUAAGGUAAAGGCUUACCAAGGCAACGAUGCAUAGCCGACCUGAGAGGGUGAUCGGCCACACUGGAACUGAGACACGGUCCAGACUCCUACGGGAGGCAGCAGUAGGGAAUCUUCCGCAAUGGGCGAAAGCCUGACGGAGCAACGCCGCGUGAGUGAUGAAGGUCUUCGGAUCGUAAAACUCUGUUAUUAGGGAAGAACAUAUGUGUAAGUAACUGUGCACAUCUUGACGGUACCUAAUCAGAAAGCCACGGCUAACUACGUG
rnacentral:rRNA from 1 species